AACAAAAUAGGGUUUUGCCAUGAGCCUAUGCAGUGUACAGCCGACAGAUAGCUGUUUCAGAAACUUCACUGGGGAGAUCCCCAAAACUAUUGAUUGAAUAGAUUCAUUUUUCUUUAGUACAGCAUUCUCUGGCAUUUGUCACCUAGAUGAGCAACAGCAUGUAGUGCAGAGAAUUUGGUAAAAGUAUAAGGGAAACCAAUGGCAGUAAUUGUGACUGCAUGUGAAAACAGAUCUUAAUCUGUCAGUGAAAGCUGUCUCCAGACAGAUGACUGCUUUCUCACACAAGUAACCUGCAAAGAACUAGAUAGCUGCAUUUCUUCUUGAGAAGAAUAGAGAGUGAUUCUGAAGAAAAAAUAUCAGAGAAUUCCAAAACAGAGAGGAAGAAACCAAAAGUAAUCAGGCAAUGGAGGAACUGAAAAAUAAAGAAAAGGGAAAAUACCUUCGUUAUUCUCAGAGAGCAAAAUUGACCCCAGUGUAAAGGACUAGCACAAAAUUGAUACAUCACUGAAGUCCUUCUUAAGCGCUAUUUUGGAUACUUCAGUGAUGCAUAGGCUUUAUGCAGGUGCUCGGAACAGGGAUGAAUUUGAGUCUGCUUUUGUUAUUUCAAAAUACCAGUAAAGUUUUCCACACACUUAAUAUUUUCCAUUGCCUUUCCUUUGCUGAGACAUGAGAAGGUGGUGUCCUGUAUACAAUACAAGUAUCAUGCAUAUUCCACACUACCUGAAGCAGCUGCACAGAAUGAAAAAGCUGGAGCCCAGUAGCUGUCAUCCAGACUAAAGUGGGUGAACCCAUUCAGAGCUGAAUGCUGCCAAAAAAGGUAUCAACCUGUGGAAGGCAGCCACACAAUUAAAUCCUCUGACCAAAAAUGAGACACACCAGAAGACGAACACUUGAGUAGCAGGAAGAGAGAACAGGAGGAAUAGCUGCAAAAAUACAAAGUCUGACUCCAGACUGUACAAGGAGUAAGAUGGGCAACACUGCUAGGCAGCAUGUACUCCAGGUUUGAAAAACAUGGAUGAUAAUUCAACCUAAAUCAGCCCUCCCAUUAACAGUGCAGCCUGUAGUUUGAAGGGCUUUGUUCCAGAAAUGACAAGAGAUAAAAGAAGCCUAUUAUUAUCCUUGGCAUCCCUGGAGUUCUGAGGGAAUUUCGUUGCUUUCCUCUCCAUUAAGAGAUAAUGUCUCAGUAAAGAGCUUGAGCUAAGAGACUACAUGGAAGCAAACCUCCACUUCAAGUGGGAAGCCAGACCAUGAGAAAUACUAUAGAAGGUUAAUAACCAUGAAACACUUACGUGUCUGUAGAACACUGGAAAAUAGGCAAAGACAACCUGAGAGCUCUGGAUAAGAGUGAAACAUGAGCUGAAAAGCUCCACCAGAAACACCAGCGACUUCCUAAUGAUGGAAUUGGCUAGCAGGUGUCAAAGAAUAUGAAAGAAUAUACAAAAGGUGCCAAAAGAAGAGCCACAUCUAAUGCACCACCCUGUACACUCAGAUCAGAGAGACAUAAAGCUGCCAUGUGUGAUCUGGCUGUGGUAAUAGUGUCAAUGAGGCUCUGCAAGUGCACUAAAGAAUUCCAACCAGCCUGCCUAUUGAUGCACCCAUACCAACUCUAUAUAUUAGAUAAUUACUAUGGCAACAGAGAUACCUCCAGUAACCAGGCCCAGAUUGGCUGUAUCCAAAAUUAUCGAUUUGCUUUUCUCAUGCUACAUGGACAAACAACCCAAGAAGGGGGGCAUCUGGGCCCAACACAUGACUUCCCCAGGAGGUUUAUGUCACAUGCAUCUUACAAGCUCAGAGACAGCACAAGUGACGCUGCAGAGGU